rnacentral:rRNA from 1 species
GACGAACGCUGGCGGCGUGCUUAACACAUGCAAGUCGAACGGAAAGGCCCUGCUUUUGUGGGGUGCUCGAGUGGCGAACGGGUGAGUAACCCUGGGGUACCUUGCCUUGGCCUUGGGGUAACUUCCGGAAACCUGGGGCAAUACCGGGUAGGGGGUCCCGCUUCAUGGGGGGGGGUGGGAAGUUUCGGCGGUUGGGGAUGGACUCGCGGCUUAUCAGCUUGUUGGUGGGGUAGUGGCUUACCAAGGCUUUGACGGGUAGCCGGCCUGAGAGGGUGACCGGCCACAUUGGGACUGAGAUACGGCCCAGACUCCUACGGGAGGCAGCAGUGGGGAAUAUUGCACAAUGGGCGGAAGCCUGAUGCAGCAACGCCGCGUGCGGGAUGACGGCCUUCGGGUUGUAAACCGCUUUCGCCUGUGACGAAGCGUGAGUGACGGUAAUGGGUAAAGAAGCACCGGCUAACUACGUG